AGAUGAUUGGUUACACAGUAUCUACCCUGUAUGGAGCACUCAGAUCCAAGGCUGUGAGUUGAACACAUGCUUUGUAGAUGUCAGUAUCCCACCUCCUUCCUGCCUGCUAUGCUGCCUACUGAGAAGAAGCCGGUGAUCCUGCAGUGGGAAGGAACACUUAUGGUCAGUAGCUGAACCAAAAGAAGGAAUAUUGAUGCUGGUUGAAUCUACAGAUGUGGAAGUUACAGAUGUGGAAGGCCAGCUGUGCUGUCUUAUAUGGAAUGAGUCUCUGAGACUGGAAUAGGCUUAGAAUCAAAAGCCUGCUACUUCAUGUAGAGAAG